CCCAAAUCCUAGACACGCCGUGGCGUCCUCCUUCGCCCGCCCGUCCCGCCGCCACCGUCCCCCGUCCCCCGGGUCGGCCUCGCCUCGCCGCACCGACCUACUACGCGCGGCCCCGCGCUCUUCUCCGUCUCCUCUUCGCCCUCCCGUCUCGGCGCCGCCGCCGCCGCCCCCCGUUCGCCGAUCGGCCUGGCCUAGCCGCCGCUGCCCCAACCGGGUGCCGCCGCCUCCUCUACGCCCUCCCUCCGCUGCCGCUCUCCCGUCCCGCCGCCGCCGGUACGACAGGUAGGUAAUUUUGGCACAUCCAGCCCAGCCUCAAGCGUGACAACUGACAACUUCAUCGCCAAGGAGCAGCUGCACAUCCUCCCUGCUCUUCCUCUCCUC